AAUCCAACACUCCAAACAAAGGGGCAGCUGCUGGCAGGUGUCCGUAUCACAAGGAACACUUCGGAACAGAACGGGUUUAUCAUUGUCGGGGGUUUGGGGUGGGGUUUUGGGGGUUGGGAUUCAUCUUUUAACAUGCAGAAUCUCAUUGUCUGACAUGAUAGGGGGAGGGGUGAAUUAAAAAAUAAAAAUAAUAAUUAAAAAAAAGAAUAAAAAUAAUAAAAGAUCACAUUGGAAAUGAUCAGCCCCAACAGGCAUGCACGUCUCCCUUCAUGCAAGCGAGAAGCACAGCCUCCUUCCUCGGGAUGCUACAGGGACAUGGAGCUCAGCGCUGGCCCCCGGGCAAGGAUAGAGCGAGAACAAAGGGCCACAGCAUACACUACUACAUCCAGGGAGGGCAACCCACUUGUGCUCAUACAGGGGAUGGGGGGGGCGGACAGGGGACAGGAUGGUGGCCAGUCAGUCAUUGAGAUACACGGAGAAGGAAGCAUGGAGGAGGAAAUAAUAAAUAGAUGCUUUUAAGGCUAAAAUAAACCAAUGAAUCAAACUGAGGAUAAAGUGGGGUGGGAAGGCACGGCCUUGCAAAAUGAUGUGUCUCCUGGAGGGGUGCAGGGGUGAGGAUUGCUGGAGACACUCGUUUUUGUUUUGUUUCUUGACAUUUUAGCAGUAGGAACCACCACCGACCUGCUGAAUUUGUCCUCCUCCUCUCACUUAAAGGCAAAUAACCAACCCUGUGUCUCCCACCAACUUCUGUGGAGGUGCUAUUAAGAUGCUCCCCCUCCUCCCCUCUCCCAGCCCCAUCUCCUCUGACUUCCCUCAGUUCCUUGCGGCAUUCAAGGCAAAACUGGGAGGUUUUAUAGGACCAUUUUGCAGACCUGGGUUGGGGAGGUCUGGCAUAGGAACAGGGAGAGGUGACCAGGAUUAUCAUUGUGUUUCAGCUGCAGCAAAACCGCUCGCUGACCGCUGUUAGGUUGCCCAUCCCUCGCUGCUUCCCACGCUUUAAGGCUCCCGGUGACUUUCUCCGAAUAUAUAGUUAUCUCUAUUUGCCCAAAUUGGGUUAUUCAGGAGAUGGUGGGUCUGGAGGCUCCAGGGAGG
rnacentral:lncRNA from 1 species